UACGGGGGGAGCAAACGUUGUUCGGAAUCACUGGGCGUAAAGGGCGCGUAGGCGGCCAGAUAAGUGGGGUGUUAAAUCUCCCGGCUCAACCGGGAACCUGCACCUCAUACUGCCUGGCUUGAGUGCAGCAGAGGAGACUGGAAUUCCCGGUGUAGCGGUGAAAUGCGUAGAUAUCAGGAGGAACACCGGUGGCGAAGGCGGCUUUCUGGACAGAUACCGACGCUGAGGCACGAAAGCUAGGGGAGCAAACAGG
rnacentral:rRNA from 1 species